GCAUAUCAAUAAGCGGAGGAAAAGAAAAUAACAAUGAUUCCCCUAGUAACUGCGAGUGUAGAGGGACAAGCUCAAAUUUUAAAUCUAUCGGGUUUUACCUGAUCGAGUUGUAAUUUGAAGAUGGCGUUUUCUGUGUUUCUGAUCAGUUCAAGUCCUUUGGGAUAAGGCAUCAUGGAGGGUGAGAAUCCCGUUCGGUUGAUCAGAUUCGCUUUACGAUACGUUAUCAAAGAGUCAAGUUGUUUGGGAUUGCAGCUUAAAAUGGGAGGUAAAUUUCUCCUAAGGCUAAUAACGGCGAGAGACCGAUAGCGAACAAGUACCGUGAGGGAAAGAUGAAAAGAACUUUGAAAAGAGAGUUAAACAGUACGUGAAAUUGUUGAAAGGGAAACGAUUGAAGCCAGUCGUACCUUCGGGUAAUCAGCCUUUCGGGUGCGAUUCUGUGGGGUGUGAGGAGCUUAACACCUUCAUGCUUUGCAUAUUUGUGCUCUUGGGUGUACUUGCCCGUGUGGUUGGUUAACAUCAAUUUUGGUUAUCAUAAAAUGACUGGAGGAAUGUAGCUUCGAUCUCGUAUUGAAGUGUUUAUAGCCUUCGGUAGAUGUGAUGAACGAGAUUGAGGAUUGCAACGGAUACCCUUCGGGGCUACCUGUCUGGUCUCUGAUCGUUGCUCUGGUGCUGAAAGCUUGCUUACAGUUAUCAAAGUUGAUGGUCAAUAGGUUAGAACGGGUUAAAUUCGUUAAGGAUGUUGACGUAAUGGCUUUAAACGACCCGUCUUGAAACACGGACCAAGGAGUCUAACAUAUAUGCGAGUGUUAGGGUGAUUAAACCCUUACGCGUAAUGAAAGUAAUUUUGGUGGGAACACUUUUGUGCACCAUCGACCGAUCAGGAUAUUUUUUGAUAGAUUUGAGUAAGAGCA
rnacentral:rRNA from 1 species